rnacentral:lncRNA from 1 species
UCUACACCAACCCUAAAGAAGUUACUAUGCAUCAGCUGUAAUAAGUUUUCAUGUGUCAGCUGAUCUGCAAAUCCAUGACAAAGACGAGUUCUAGUCUUCCGAUUCCUGCAGCUGAAUCCUGCCUUAGGGACGGGGAUGAGAUGAUAACGUGGUCCAGACUUUCAGCGUGAUGCUGGACAACUCCGUGAAGCUGAACUUUUCCUAGCACCAGAAAAUACUAUAUCACUUUGUAAUUUCAAGUAAAUGAAAAACAUACAUUGACAAGCCCUAAACUACUUCACAAUGGAACCACAGGAAAAGGAGAAUAUUAUUGCAUUAAAAGAAUACCUUCCUUGCAAAUAAAAGGUCAGUACACCUGAAAUAAACA